rnacentral:rRNA from 2 species
ACCUGUGCCAUGUCAGUGGGCCUUGCAAGUCGCGCUUGUCCGAACAAAGCCAACUCUGGAAACGCACGAGUGCGCUGUGCUGCUGCUUCUUCUCGCGAGAAGCAAGCAAGAAG